GUAUAAUCAACAAAGAUUAUAUUUUUAUGGGGGCGAAACAGGAUCGACAAGGGUGUAAAGAUUGCUCUUUUACUCGGCAUUGUACCACCGUUAUCGGGCUAGAUGAAUAGUUGCAAAUGACAACUAUGCGGAGGCACGUCUCAUCGCUGCUUAAGCGAUGCGAAGGCUUCAAAUUAAGUCUUAAACCGUCGCAGGUUUAAGCGGGGUUCGAAGGCACCUGGAAACAGAAGCCGA
rnacentral:tmRNA from 1 species